rnacentral:rRNA from 1 species
AUGGGAAGCAGGUUAAUAUUCCUGCACCGUCGUAUGAUGCGAUGGGGGGACGGAUCGCGGAAGGUUGUCUGCCUGUUGGAAUAGGCAGUUUCUGGUUCAUAGAAGGCGCUUAGGCAAAUCCGGGCGCAGGAUUCAAGGGACUGGGACGAGGCAUUUAGGUGCUGAAGCAAUCGGAAGUGGUUCCAAGAAAAGCCUCUAAGCUUCAGUCAUACGAGACCGUACCGCAAACCGACACAGGUGGGCGAGAUGAGUAUUCU